rnacentral:ncRNA from 1 species
UCACGUGGACGACCACGCGCGCGUCGAUUACACCGGGGACGGCCCCA